AGAAGCCGCCCCCUGAGAAAACACCCUGUGGACCUGGGAUGAGGAAAGGAAAAGGGAACAAAAACCAGAUCCACUUACGAUUUCCGUGUCUGACAUGGGCCUGGCAUCCAGGAGGCAAUGGGAAUACGAAGAUGAAUGAGGCCUGGGCUCGUGCAGUGAAGGUGACCCUCUGGAUGGUCCUGAAGGCUUUUGAAUGAUGUAAAAUUUUGAGUGACUUUUUGAGACGGGAGUAAUUGUAUAAACACAAGUUUGGCCAGUUGA
rnacentral:lncRNA from 1 species